GACGAACGCUGGUGGCGUGCUUAACACAUGCAAGUCGAACGGGAUUUAGUAAACAGAAGCCUCGGUGGAAGAUUACUAAUGAGAGUGGCGAACGGGUGAGUAACGCGUGAGCAACCUGCCUAUGACAGUGGGAUAGCCUCGGGAAACCGGGAUUAAUACCGCAUAAAAUCGUAGAAACACAUGUUUUAACGGUCAAAGAUUUAUCGGUCAUAGAUGGGCUCGCGUCUGAUUAGCUAGUUGGUGAGAUAACAGCCCACCAAGGCGACGAUCAGUAGCCGGUCUGAGAGGAUGAACGGCCACAGUGGAACUGAGACACGGUCCAAACUCCUACGGGAGGCAGCAGUGGGGAAUAUUGCACAAUGGGGGAAACCCUGAUGCAGCGACGCCGCGUGAACGAAGAAGGUAUUCGUAUCGUAAAGUUCUGUCCUAUGGGAAGAUAAUGACAGUACCAGAGAAGAAAGCUCCGGCUAAAUACGUG
rnacentral:rRNA from 1 species